rnacentral:lncRNA from 1 species
UAUGAAACAUCUAGGUAUGGAUUGCUUCCAUUUUGUCCUGUCAGAGUUUUUGAACUUCUUAGAGAUAAAGACAAAUGUUUUCCAUCCAAUUGGGGAAGUUUUUGUCAUUAUUUUUUCAAAUAUACUUUCCACUCCUUUUUUCUUUUUGUUCCUCAGAUUGGAGAAGCUCAAGUGACCUGUCUUUAACUUGACUGAUUCUUUUAUCUGCCAAUUCAAAUAUGCUACUAAGCGCCUUUACGAAAUGUUUCAUACCUAUUAUUGCCCUUUUCAACUCCAAAAUGUCCAUUUGAUUUUUUUUUUCCUAACUGCACUGGGCGAAAGUACCCCUUUCACAUUUAAAUUCCAACUUUCUAUUUCAUUCUUUUUUAUAAUUUCUAUCUCUUCAUAUAUAUUAUCUUAGGUAAAACAUGACUCUGAAACUUUGCUUUAAUUAUUUAGAUGUAAUUUAUUUCUUUGAAAUGUUUGUAAUUGGUAUAAGGUAUUUGUCUAGUAAGACCAAUAUCUGGGCUUCUUCAGAGACAAUUUUUUGACUUUUUUUCCUAUGUAUGAGCCAUACUUCACUGUUUCUUUGUAUGUCUUAUAAUUUUUGUUGGGAACUAGACAUUUAAAAUAAUGUGACAGUUAAAGAAAAUUAUAUUCCUUCCUACCCCCUGGAUUUGUACAGUCUCUAUUCUUUGAAGCCUUUUCAGCUAGCAGUGGUCAGUUACUGUUUGGUCGGAGGUUUCUUUAAAUGCCUUUCAGCUUUUGCUCAGGGUGUGUGUGUGUGUGUGUGUGUGUGUUCAAACAUGAAAGAUUAGGGCCUUCUCAGGUCUUCCUGCACAUUCACACAACUCACACAUACGUAUAACCUUCUAAAUUCCCAGAACUAUGUCAGAACAUUCAAUGCCCCUUAUGGACAUUUCAUUCCUCAGUUUUUCCUUUUGAGUAUUUUGAUCAGCUGCUUAUUAGCUACAACUAGUACAACUCCCUCAGGCAACUGCAGUGUUAAACAAUUGCUAUUGCCUGUUUUCAGCAAAUAUGCUGCAGAUGGCACUAUACACAUAGAGUGAAUCCUGAGUCUUAUCAAAUAAAGACAGUUCCCAAGAAUGGAGAUUUUUGGCAUGCUGCCGGGCAGGCAAAUAGUGAUAGUUUUCUGGGGAUGGAGUUUUGGGGGAACUUCAAAUCUAUUCUGGCUUCUCCAGUAUUCUGGCUUGGCUUUUGGGUUUCCUAACUACCAUCAUUGCACGGUUUUGGUUUUUCAAGGCUAGUCUGGGGCUGGGGUUGGGGUGAUUGGAUUAGGGCAUGUUAAGAUGCUAUAAAGCUUGAUGUUCUUGCUAAGAGUCAGCUGGUUUUCUUGAAUGAAUAUUCCUUGGAUUGUUUCAGCCCUUUAGUAAACUUCCAGAAUGCUGGGAAAAAUUAAUUUUGAAAGUAUUUGCAGUACUCUUUUCAAAAUUCUUUUGUCAAAGUACAGUUGAUGUACAAUAUUAUAUAAGUUAUAGGUGUACAAUAUAGAGAUUCAUAGUUUUUAAAGGUUAUACUCCAUUUAGAGUUAUUAUAAAAUAUUGGGUGUAUUCCCUAUGUUGUAAAAUAUAUCCUUAUAACUUAUUUUAUGCAUAAUAUUAUUGCCUUACUCCUAUAUUGCUCCUUCUCUCUUCCUUCUCCCUACUGGUAACCAUUAGUUUGGACUUAUUUCAGUUAGUGUAAUGUCCAUCCAUGUUGUUGCAGAUGGCAAAAUUUCAUUUUAUUUUAUGACUGAGUAGUGUGUGUGUGUGUGUGUCACAGCUUCCUUAUUUGUUGAUAGAGACAUGGUUGUUGUAAAUAAUGCUGCUAUGAACAUUUUUGAAUUAGUGUUUUCAUUUUCUUUGGAUAUAUGCCAAGAGUAGAAUUGCUGGGUCAUGUGGUAGUUCUGUUUUCAGGGUUUUGUUAUUGUUGUUGUUGUGUGUGUGAUUUGGGGAGGGGGGCACAGCCAGGCCAGGGAUUGAACCUGUGUCACUGCUGCUGCAGUGACAAUAAGGGAUCCUUACCCUGCUGUGCCAUAAGGGAACUCCCUAUUUUCAGUUUUUUGGAGAAAUCUCCAUACUUUUCUCCACAGUGACUGCACCAAUGUACAUCCCCUCCUACAGUAUACAAGAGUUCCCCUUUCUUGAUAUCCUCACCAACAUUUGUUAUUUGUGUUCUUUUUGAUGACAGCCAUUCUGACAAGUGUGAGGUGAUAGCUUGCGGUUUUACUUUGCAUCUCCCUGAUAAUUAGUGAUGUUGACAUCUUCUCAUUUGCCUGUAGGCUAUCUGCAUUUCCUCUAUGUUUCCUAUAUAAAAAUGUCUAUAUUCAGGUCUUCUGCCCAUUUUUUAAGUGGUUUGUGUUUUUUGAUGUUGGGUUGAGUGAGCUGUUUAUAUGUUUUGGAUACUAACCCCUUAUCCGUUGUGUCAUCUGCAGACAUUUUCUCCUAUUCAGUAGGUUAUCUUUUCAUUUGACAGUAUUUGCCAGUAUUGUUGCUUUUAUGGAGGAACAGAUUUUCAAAUGUCCUUCCUCUGCCACUCUGGAAGUGCCACUUCCCAUUCCUGUAUAUUUUUAUCAGCAUCCUGCUUCCAGUUUCUGAUCCAUCUUCUCAUUAUUUGCCUUUCUCUUGUAUGUUUCAGCUGGACCCUUGGAACUUUGGUUCCAUGGCUAACAUACUUACAUUCUCAGUUAUCCACUGACUGUUACCUCCCUUUCUUGCCAGGCAGCCCUUUCAGGGACUGAUUCUCUCACAUGUCACGUAAUAAAAAUCCUCUUCCUCCAUUAAAUAUUAGUAUUCCUCAAGUUUCUGGCCUACCUCCCUUCUCUUGUCUGCCUAUACCUCUCAGUAUUCUUACCCAGUUGCUGCUGAUACUCUCAAAUCUGUGGUCUUAUCUAGCCCAGAUCCCUGUCUUAAGCUCUACAUCUGAAUCUAAUUGUGCUUAAUAUAAAUCUUCAUUUGGAAUUUCUACAGGCAUGUAAACUUCCUCAAGUUCAAAACAAAUCAGUUUAUUUUUCCUUCUCGGUUUUCUUUGAGUGACAUUCCCAUUUAUCCAGUUGCCUAAGCCACAAAUUUGGGUCAGUUUUUAUUCUUUCUCCUUUACCCUACCUCCAAAUUGUAGUCAGUUACCUUUCCACUCUGUGCCCUAAAUCUUUCUUUACUUAGGUUUUCUGCAUCUCUACUGAUGUCUUGCUGGAAUUACUCCAGUAGCCUCCUAUAAAGAGAUCUUCCCGUUAUUGUUCUGUCCCCAUCGUCUUCACAAUGUAUCCACAAGGGACUUUAUAAAAUGCAAAUCCACCACAGUUCACAGAGUCCACAUGCACACCCCAGUUAUACUUUUCCCUUCUCUCCAUUGCAUUCCUUGCUCCAUCCUAAUGGCCUUUUCCCUAUUUCUGGACUGUGUCAUGUUCUGGUUUGCUUUCAGGUGUUUGUAUAUAUCUCAGUGUUCUUUCUCACUUUGCUCUUUGGUUAUUUUCUCAGGGAAGCCUUCCUGUAUUGUCACAAACUGAGCUAGAUACUUCAGUAUAGAAUUACCACACUGUAAUUGCCUAUUUGCUCAUCUUUAUCUCCCAGUAGAAUCACAAGUCCGUGAGAUUAGGGACUGUGAUCACAAGAAGUUUAUGGCCUAGCACAUAACACUGGAUUUCUACAAAUUAUUUGGUGAAUAAGAAGUAUGCCUACAUAUAUGAAUGAAGGAGCCAACCAUGUUCAGCACUGAGAAUACAGAGAUAUAUUAGCCAAAUUAUCAGUGAAAUAGACCUUUGUAACAUCUGGCAUUUAAGGGAUAUAGCUGUAUUAGUAAUGUGGGAUUAGUAACUGAAAUGAUUCUAAAUUUCUGUAUACUUCAGUUGAAGAAAUAAAAUGACAUGAAUGUAUGUGAGACCCCAAAGCAUUAUUUAAAAAUGAAAGGAGAAAAUGAAGAGAAACCAUUCAACAGGAAGUUAUAUACAUUUGCCCUUUGUGAAGUUAGUAAUUAGUUUUUGUUCUGUUGUGUUUUUAAUUUCUGGUCAUUGAGAAGUAGGUGUUUUCUUCCUCCUUGCCUUUCUUGUACACAAAUUGUAUACAAUUUGUAUAUUUAUUAAAUAUAUACAAGCCAAAAAAAUCGCCCAUUUGGUUUAGUGUAUUAUGUAUAGUUUCAUAACUGAAAUAAAUCUAGCACCAGAAAUAAAUAUAUCAUAAACAUCUCUUUAUUCUCAGAAAUACACAUCAAUACAAUCUGGUGCUGAGGUCAGCAAGUUUUUUCUUUAUAGGGCUAUUUAGUAUUUGAGACUUUGAGGGCUAAAAGCAGCCAUAGACCAUUCCAAAUGGGUGUGGUUUAUUCCAAUAAAACUUUAUUUACAAUAACAGUUGUCAAGCAAGAUUUUGUAUGAGAGCCAUAGAUCUGGUCUGUGUUAUAGAUAUACCAUAAUUACUUAAUCUCCUAUUUGGGGAAAUUUAUUAUCUUAAUCUUUUUACUAUUAUUAGUUAUAUUAGUAUCUUAAUAUCUAAAUCUUUAUGUACAUUCUUACGUUUUUCCUUAGCAUAAGGAUCUGGAUUUGCCACAGGUGUGGCGCAAAUCAAAACUGCAGUGUGGUUUUGAUCCCUGAUCUGGGAACUUCCACAUGCUAUGGGUGUGGCCAAAAAAAAAAUUUUUUUAAAUGAGAAUCGGUGAUAUAACAGUUGCUUUCUAACUGUGACUAUGAGGAGUUUUGUUUGGUUCUUGUUGUGGUUUGUGGUUUUUGUGGGUACGGGGAAAGAAAGAUGGAGUGAAACUUUAGAUAGAAGCAUAUAAAGAUUAGAGGGGAACAUUGAGUUAAUGCUAGUAAUAUAAAACUUAAAAAGAAAUGUUCCAUGAAGAAGAAAAUAUGAAAAAUUUCAUAAAUAUAAAUUUUCCACCAACUUUCUGUUCAUCUGUUUGAUGACUCUAUAGAGUUUUGCUUAAAAUCUUGUGUAGAUUGGGACUGGGGAGAUGGAGUUUGCAAAUUACAAAAUGAGCACUUCUUAUUCAGUCUUGUAAGAUACUCUUAGGCCAGCAUGAUUUUGAUUAUGAUUACCCACCAGCUUGUUUU